rfam:Desulfotomaculum gibsoniae DSM 7213, complete genome.
CCUGCUGUUCCGUCAGCAGUAGCCUAAUAGCACAUGCAAUUCUGGCAACGGAAUUGUUUGAAGCUGCAUCGCUGCGGAU